GCCGCUGCAGACCUGGUUGAUUCUGCCGGACCCGACUGCUAUCAGAGUGAGAUUAAGCCAUGCGAGUUAACGUAGCAAUACGUGGCGCACGGCUCAGUAACACGUAGUCAACAUGCCCAGAGGACGUGGAUAACCUCGGGAAACUGAGUCUAAACCGCGAUAAGUUAGGAUUUCUGGAAUGGUUCCUGACUAAAAUCUAUAUGGCCUCUGGAUUGGACUGCGGCCGAUCAGGCUGUUGGUGAGGUAAUGGCCCACCAAACCUGUAACCGGUACGGGCUCUGAGAGGAGGAGCCCGGAGAUGGGCACUGAGACAAGGGCCCAGGCCCUAUGGGGCGCAGCAGGCGCGAAACCUCUGCAAUAGGCGAAAGCCUGACAGGGUUACUCUGAGUGACUUUCGCUAAGAAAGUCUUUUGGCACCUCUAAAAAGGGUGCAGAAUAAGGGGUGGGCAAGUCUGGUGUCAGCCGCCGCGGUAAUACCAGCACCCCGAGUGGUCGGGACGAUUAUUGGGCCUAAAGCAUCCGUAGCCGGUUCUGCAAGUCCCCCGUUAAAUCCAGCUGCUCAACAGAUGGGCCGCGGAGGAUACUACAGAGCUAGGAGGCAGGAGAGGCAAGCGGUACUCAGUGGGUAGGGGUAAAAUCCGUUGAUCCAUUGAAGACCACCAGUGGCGAAGGCGGCUUGCCAGAAUGCGCUCGACGGUGAGGGAUGAAAGCUGGGGGAGCAAACCGGAUUAGAUACCCGGGUAGUCCCAGCCGUAAACGAUGCAGACUCGGUGAUGGGUUGGCUUCGCGCURACCCAGUGCCGCAGGGAAGCCGUUAAGUCUGCCGCCUGGGUAGUACGGUCGCAAGACUGAGACUUAAAGGAAUUGGCGGGGGAGCACCACAAGGGGUGAAGCCUGCGGUUCA
rnacentral:rRNA from 1 species